GGAAAAUUUAGAUCCAGUAGAACAAUAACGUACUGAAAUCACUUCUAAGAAAGUAGUUCCUGUCAUGAUGCAAUGAUUAUCAUCACACUUUCCAAAUAACAUGUACAUGGUGUAUGUGGUGUCUUUUAUUUCUUUGUUUUAGUAAGUGGUCAUCCUGUUGGUAGCUGGACUGUGCAGGUUUUUUAUUUUGUGUUUUAGUAAGUGGUCAUCCUGUUGGUAGCUGGACUGUGCAGGUUUUUUAUUUUGUGUUUUAGUAAGUGGUCAUCCUGUUGGUAGCUGGACUGUGCAGGUCUUUUAUUUUGUGUUUUAGUAAGUGGUCAUCCUGUUGGUAGCUGGACUGUGCAGGUUUUUUAUUUUGUGUUUUAGUAAGUGGUCAUCCUGUUGGUAGCUGGACUGUGCAGGUUUUUUAUAUUGUGUUUUAGUAAGUGGUCAUCCUGUUGGUAGCUGGACUGUGCAGGUCUUUUAUUUUGUGUUUUAGUAAGUGGUCAUCCUGUUGGUAGCUGGACUGUGCAGGUCUUAUAUUUUGUGUUUUAGUAAGUGGUCAUCCUGUUGGUAGCUGGACUGUGCAGGUCUUUUAUUUUGUGUUUUAGUAAGUGGUCAUCCUGUUGGUAGCUGGACUGUGCAGGUCUUAUAUUUUGUGUUUUAGUAAGUGGUCAUCCUGUUGGUAGCUGGACUGUGCAGGUUUUUUAUUUUGUGUUUUACUUUUCUGAUGUACAUGUAUGGUCUAGAUAGAUAUGUUAUUUGAUUUUUUCAUCUUAAUAACAUACUAGUGGACUAGUAAUUUUAUAUUUCUUUCUAUUUAUGAGUUAUUUUGAUAUAU